GACGAACGCUGGCGGCGUGCUUAACACAUGCAAGUCGAGCGGUAAGGCCCUUUCGGGGGUACACGAGCGGCGAACGGGUGAGUAACACGUGGGUGACCUGCCCUCAGCUCUGGGAUAAGCCUGGGAAACCGGGUCUAAUACCGGAUAUGACUCCAUGACGCAUGUUGUGGGGUGGAAAGCCUUGUGCGGCUGAGGAUGGGCCCGCGGCCUAUCAGCUUGUUGGUGGGGUGAUGGCCUACCAAGGCGACGACGGGUAGCCGGCCUGAGAGGGCGGACGGCCACACUGGGACUGAGACACGGCCCAGACUCCUACGGGAGGCAGCAGUGGGGAAUUGUUCGCAAUGGGCGCAAGCCUGACGACGCAACGCCGCGUGGAGGAUGAAGAUCUUCGGGUCGUAAACUCCUUUCGAUCGAGACGAACGGCCUCCGGGUUAAUACUCCGGAGGAGUGACGGUACCGAGAGAAGAAGCCCCGGCUAACUCCGU
rnacentral:rRNA from 1 species